rnacentral:rRNA from 1 species
UACGUAGGGGGCUAGCGUUGUCCGGAGUCAUUGGGCGUAAAGCGCGUGUAGGCGGUCCGGUAAGUCCGCUGUGAAAGUCGGGGGCUCAACCCUCGAAUGCCGGUGGAUACUGUCGGGCUAGAGUGCGGAAGAGGCGAGUGGAAUUCCUGGUGUAGCGGUGAAAUGCGCAGAUAUCAGGAGGAACACCAAUGGCGAAGGCAGCUCGCUGGGACGGUACUGACGCUGAGACGCGAAAGCGUGGGGAGCAAACAGG